rnacentral:lncRNA from 1 species
UUAUUUAAAUAUAUAAUUAUACAGAAUAUAUAUAACUGUAUUGGUUAUUAAAAUAUUUAUGUUUUAUAAAUUAAAAAGUGGUAAAAGGAAGGUCACAUUGCAUAGUGCCCUUUUUCAUGCAUUAAAAAGAAAACUUAGACAAGUUAAAGUAAGAUUUUUUUGGGAAGAGAGGGGUGAACAUUAUUAUGAGGAAGGAGACCAUAACUGUCUGCUUUUAGAUUAAAUCAAAGAAUAGGUUCAUCAUUUUUCCCUGUGGCAAUUUAAUUCACAUUUUGCACUGUUCAGGUAGAAGCAUAUUAAUGUCAAAUUACAGAAAGCUAGUCAUUGUACUGCAGUGAAUAACUAAUUCCAUUGUUAAAAUGUAUCAGUGGUUCUCAGCCAAGGAUAAAUGACGUUUCCUUUUCUAUGCAUAAGGAAAAAUCCUCAGUGCAGUCAGGAGACUGAUGAAUGUUACAGAUACUCUGUCUUCUUACAACUCAAACCCUCAUCUGAAUUGCUCAUGCCCACUACUCCUGCCAGCCAGGCCUGUUAAAAAGAUAAUUUAAAAAAUUCACAAAGGAAAAGCGCUGUUUCUCCGUGUCAUGCUGCCUGUUUUGUUCAUUUGUCAGGUCUCUGCAUAUUGCUUUCACCAAUCUCCCUGUGCAUUCAUCAAAAUGGUCCCACACCCCAGUGACUGUGGGAUCCAAGCCCAGCCAGCUCCUGGGCCCACACAGGAGGAGGAGAGCAUUUCAAAGGACUAACAGAAGUGAAAUACAAAAUUUCAUGAUCACUGGAAGCAAGGAAAAGUCCUCAAAUUGGCUCCUUGGAUGGAGUUUCCUGCUCUUCUCCAGCCCAGGAGAUCAGUGCCCUGUGCUGAGUGACAGUGAGGCUCACAGAGACAGCAAAAACAAAAAGCUUUCCUCUCCUUCCUCCACAAGCCAGAAGGACUCUGUUCCUUCACCUCACUGUCCUCUGACAGCUCCCCAGAAGUUCUGA